rnacentral:rRNA from 1 species
UUGAAAGGGAAACGAUUGAAGUUAGUCAUGCCGGUGGGAAUCAACUUAGGGGAAACUCUAGGUGCACUUCUUCGCUUGGCAGGUCAACGUCGAUUUUGAAUGUCAUAAAAUAAUUGGGGGAAGGUAGCUCCUUCGGGAGUGUUAUAGCCCUUGGUAGAUGUGAUGUUUGGGGUCGAGGAUUGCAACGGAUACCCUCUGGGGCUAGCCGCCUGAUCUCUAAUCGGUGUUGGGUUACGGAUAGCAUGCUGACCGUGAUCUAAUUACUGGUUAAAAGGUUAGAGCGUGCAUAAAUUCGUUAAGGAUGUUGACGUA